ACUACCCUGUGACCCCCAUCCCCCAGUAGUCACCAACUCCAAGUUCCCCUGCCUGCCUGUCCUCUGACCAGGGACACCUAGGAACUCCCAACUGUCCCUUCACUGAUCUAUAACCCCUAACCAACCCCGCUUCCCUCAGGACUCAGCCUACCUGCUGGGGACCCAGAGCUCUGGAGCAGUUUGAGAGGACGUUCUCAGCCAAGAUCCAAGCCCUGCAGGGCUGCUGUGGCACACACAGGGCUACCCUGCUAGACCGCAGCCCUGUGAGCCCACCCUCUGCCUGGUGACCCACGAGGAGGCUUCCCACACCCUGGGAGGCUGCUGGCAGGGAAGGCCAAGAGGGCAGGCAAAGCAGAGGACCCUGAGCCCAUCCUGUGCCCCAUCCCACCCUCCCAGUCCCACUUGAGCUCUGGUGGCCACUGGAUGGCAGCUCCAAACUUUUUCUCCUGCAGGCACCCAGGAGCUGAUUGGAGGAAGUCUCUUCUCUAGCCUGCAGAAGAUGGAUAUGCUGGAGGAGAUCAUAGCAGAGCUGCAAAGUGGAUACCAACUCAGAGACAAGCCCUGCCUCAGCCUCAUUCCUGACACAGAUUCCUAGGGUGCCCACGGUCCCCUCUAUAUAGAUAUUGCCCCUCAGAGCCUUCCAGGAGUGACUCCCUACUCAGUGCCUGCCCCAAAGGAAAUAAAAUGAUAAAGCAACCCA